rnacentral:lncRNA from 1 species
ACCCCGAGCGGAGCGGGCCCAGGACCCUAUCGGCUGUCGAGCCGGUGCUGCCGCGGCCACCGCCACCGCCCAGGGGCUCCGGGGCUGUGGGGAGCGGCUGAACUCAAUACCGCCUCCGCGCUGACUGGAAGGCACUGCGGCCGCGCCUGCCUGCCCCACCUCGUAAGGGCCUGUGACCUCACGAGGCCAGCCGCCGGGCGCUGCAUUCGAGCGGUGGGGCUCCUGUCCGUGCGCUUUCCUCCCGCAGCCCCGGCCGGGAUUCCGCCCUCCGUCCUUGCCACCCGCUCGCCACUCUUCCCUAAUCGCUGUUCAUUCUCCGGUGCGCUGUCCCGCCAUGGUCUGACCCCACUUCAAUCUUACCUUCGGUCCGUCCUUUGAACACCCCGACCCCCGACCCCUUUCUUCCAAAACAUUCCAUCCUUCUUGGCUUCUGCUACUCAAUAAUGGACAGCAGCUCGAAGGCCAUGUGUCCCACGGCUUUGCUGAAAUUUGUCUCGGGUUGCCUUUAAGGAGACUGUCGUUUCCUUUUGAAAGAGAUACUUUGGUUGGUUUGGUUUUCUUCUGUGUGUUUGUUUUUCCUAUGUAUUUAUCGUAUGCAGUUGGGCAAAAUACUUAACGCUCCCUGAGUCUCGAUUUUCUCAUUCUUCCAGGGUUGUGGGAAUUCAAAAAUAUAUACGUAGUGCUCAAUAAAUGUUACAAUAUUUAAUCCC